UUUUUUUUUUUUUUUGAGACAGAAUCUCGCUCUGUCACCCUUCCUGGAGUGCAGGGGUAUGAUCUCGGCUCACUGCAAGCUCUGUCUCCUGACUUCACGCCAUUCUCCUGCCUCAGCCUCCCUAGAAGCUGGGACUACAGGCGCCCACCAUGCCCGGCUAAUUUUUUGUAUUUUUAGUAGAGACGGGGUUUCACCGUGUUAGCCAGGAUGGUCUCGAUCUCCUGACCUCGUGAUCCGCCUGCCUUGGCCUCCCUAAGUGCUGGGAUUACAGGCGUGAGCCACCACGCCUGGCCAAGGAAUCUCCUUUGUUCCUACAGGAGUAUAUGAUUGGUUUGUCUGUUGGCUGGUAGGGAACUGAAUCAUGUGACACUGACAGGUAAGACUGUAAUACUGUAAAAUACAGUAUAUAAAUUAUAAUACCAUAAUGGUGUAAUACUAUCUACUACAGCACCAAAGGCAUCGAUGAAAAGCCCAACACUAUCAUAUGUGACUGACAGACUGCAUGCUUCCUCCCUCAGAUUGGUUACAACAUAUUGUCCUAUCACAGUUCUCUCCUUCAUUCAAAAUGAACGAUCCAAAUAACAGACAAAAAUAAUAAAGAAUAAAGGGCAAAAGAUGCAAAGAAGUCACGAGAUGAUACUCUAUGGUAAAGUUUAUGUACUUAGGAAUUAAUACCAACUCAUUAUUAGCAAAAAAUAAACAUCUUUACAUCAAGAGUAGUUUUUCCUUUAAAAAAAAAAAAGGUGGAAUGUGUAUAAUGGACAAGAGAUAAACAAAAUUUGUCAAAUGAGGCUAGUAAGACAAUCCCAACAAUUCACAAUCAUUAUUCACUGGUCCAUUAAUCACAGGGCAAUACAUACAAAUGAAACUUACCUGGCCGGGCGCAGUGGCUCAUGCCUGUAAUCCCAGCACUUUGGGAAGCCGAGGCAGGCAAAUCAUAAAGUCAGGAGUUCAAGACCAGCCUAGCCAACAUGGCAAAACCCUGCUUCUACUAAAAAUACAAAGAAUUAGCUGGACGUAGUGGCAGGCGCCUGUAGUCCCAGCUACUCGGGAGGCUGAGGCAGGAGAAUCGCUUAAACCUAGGAGGUGGAGGUUUCAACAUGUUGGCCAGGAUGGUCUCGAUCUCCUGACCUCAUGAUCCGCGUGGGCUUCCUCCGAACCUCCUGUGGCUUUUUAUGUCCUUGAAAAAGAACUAAGAGAACUGAAAUGUGCCACCAUGCCCAGCUAAUUAUUAUUAUUAUUAUUACUUUGAGAUGGAGUCUUGCUCUGUCGCCCAGGCUAGAGUGCAGUGGUGCGAUCUCGGCUCACUGCAAGCUCCGCCUCCUGGGUUCACGCCAUUCUCCUGCCUCAGCCUCCCGAGUAGCCGGCGUGAGUCACUGUGCCUGGCAGUAUUUUAUUUUUUGUAGAGACAGGGUUUCACCAUGUUGCCCAGGUUAUUUCAUAUUGUUUUAAUCCAGGCUGGUUAUGAACUCCUGGGCUCAAGCAAUACACACACCUUGGCCUCCCAAAGUGCUGGGAUUAUAGGCUGAGUCACUACACCCAGCAUCUAUAUCAUGACUUCUUUCAUGGCGAGUAAGGUGACUGGAACGAGUGUACGCUUUACUGCAUCUCUUACAUUCAUAGGGUUUUUCUCCAGUAUGAAUUCUUUCGUGGAGGUGAAGGGAACUGAGGCGACUGAAGGCUUGGUCACAUUGUUUACAUUCAUAGGUUUACUCUCCAGUAUGACUACUUCUAUGGUUACAGAGGGAACUCAAACGACUAAAGGCUUUGCUCACAUUGUUUACAUUCAUAGGGUCUCUCUCCAGUAUGAAUGCUUCCAUGGUCACGAAGGGAAGUGGAACAGCUGAAGGCUCUAUCACAUUUGGUACAUUUAUAGGGUCUUUCUCCAGUGUGAGUCCUUUCAUGCGUCUUAAAAGAACAAGAAAAUCUGAAUGUUUUCCCACAUUCCUUACAUUCGUAGGGUUUCUCUCCAGUGUGAGUUCGUUCAUGUAUUAGACAAGAACCGGAAACAGUGAACGCUUUACCACAUUGUUUACAUUGAUAGGGUUUUUCUCCUGUGUGAAUUCUCUGAUGUCUUUCAACUG
rnacentral:lncRNA from 1 species